AUGAACGCUGGCGGCGUGCCUAAUACAUGCAAGUCGAGCGAACAGACGAGGAGCUUGCUCCUCUAACGUUAGCGGCAGACGGGUGAGUAACACGUGGAUAACCUACCUAUAAGACUGGGAUAACUUCGGGAAACCGGAGCUAAUACCGGAUAAUAUAUUGAACCGCAUGGUUCAAUAGUGAAAGACGGUUUUGCUGUCACUUAUAGAUGGAUCCGCGCCGCAUUAGCUAGUUGGUAAGGUAACGGCUUACCAAGGCAACGAUGCGUAGCCGACCUGAGAGGGUGAUCGGCCACACUGGAACUGAGACACGGUCCAGACUCCUACGGGAGGCAGCAGUAGGGAAUCUUCCGCAAUGGGCGAAAGCUUGACGGAGCAACGCCGCGUGAGUGAUGAAGGUCUUCGGAUCGUAAAACUCUGUUAUUAGGGAAGAACAAAUGUGUAAGUAACUAUGCACGUCUUGACGGUACCUAAUCAGAAAGCCACGGCUAACUACGUG
rnacentral:rRNA from 1 species